rnacentral:rRNA from 1 species
UACAGAGGGUGCAAGCGUUGCUCGGAAUCAUUGGGCGUAAAGGGCAAGUAGGUGGUCUCAUUUGUCUGAUGUGAAAGCCUUGAGCUUAACUCAAGAAGUGCGUCAGAAACGGUGAGACUCGAGUUCUGGAGAGGGUCGUGGAAUUCCCGGUGUAGCGGUGAAAUGCGUAGAUAUCUGGAGGAACACCGGUGGCGAAGGCGGCAUCCUGGACCGACACUGACGCUGAGGCGCGAAAGCUAGGGUAGCAAACGGG